AAAAGGAUCUCCAGUACAAUCCCAAGAACCAGCCCCAUAGGACAGCCUACCACUUCCAACCUCCUAAAAACUGGAUGAAUGGUAUGUACUCUUAAUCGUGAUUGGUCCUGAUAACGUUUUUCAAAUCUAUGUUAGUCUAAUCUUGUUAAUUCUGGUUUUUUCUUGUGCUUUUCUUUGUAUGAUUUUGUAUUUGUUAUGGCAAACAUGGUGACUGGUCAAAAACGAACCUGCAGAUCCAAAUGGUAAAGAUUUCAAAGUUCUUUUACUUUGUUCCUUCUUGCUGAUCUCAAAAAGAAAUAAUCACAUGAAUUAUCACUCAAGUGGUUUUUCGGAUAUUGAAUCAGGUGAAACUGGCAUAUUUUGGUCUGACAUUUGUCAUUGUACAUCACACAGGUCCGAUGUACUACAAGGGAAUUUACCAUCUUUUCUACCAGUAUAAUCCUUAUUCUGCAGUAUGGGGUAAUAUAUCUUGGGGACAUUCUGUAUCUUAUAAUCUGGUAGAUUGGAUUCAUAUAGAGCAAGCUAUUAAUCCAACUGAGCCUUAUGACAUCAAUGGUUGCUGGUCUGGUUCUGCAUCAAUUCUUCCU
rnacentral:lncRNA from 1 species